rnacentral:rRNA from 1 species
CCUACGGGUGGCAGCAGUGGGGGAUAUUGCACAAUGGGGGGAACCCUGAUGCAGCGACGCCGCGUGGGUGAAGAAGCGCCUCGGCGCGUAAAGCCCUGUCAGCAGGGGAGAAAAUGACGGUACCUGAAGAAGAAGCCCCGGCUAACUACGUGCCAGCAGCCGCGGUAAUACGUAGGGGGCAAGCGUUAUCCAGAUUUACGGGGUUUAAAGGGGGCGCAGACGGCGAUGCAAGCCAGGAGGGAAAACCCGGGGGCCAACCCCGGGACUGCUCUUGGAACUGCGUGGCUGGAGUGCAGGAGGGGCAGGCGGAAGUCGUGGUGUAGCGGUGAAAUGCGUAGAUAUCAGGAAGAACACCGGUUGCGAAGGCGGCCUGCUGGACUGCGACUGACGUUGAGGCCCGAAAGCGUGGGGAGCAAACAGGAUUAGAUACCCCAGUAGUC